CCUACGGGAGGCAGCAGUAGGGAAUCUUGCACAAUGGGCGAAAGCCUGAUGCAGCAACGCCGCGUGGGUGAAGAAGGUCUUCGGAUCGUAAAACCCUGUCGUUAGAGAAGAAAGUGAGUGAGAGUAACCGUUCACGUUUGGACGGUAUCUAACCAGAAAGCCACGGCUAACUACGUGCCAGCAGGCGCGGUAAUACGUAGGGGGCAAGCGUUAUCCGGAUUGAUUGGGCGGAAAGGGAACGCAGGCGGUCUUUUAAGUCUGAUGUGAAAGCCUUCGGCUCAACCGGAGUAGUGCAUUGGAAACUGGGAGACUUGAGUGCAGCAGAGGAGAGUGGAAUUCCAGGUGUAGCGGUGAAAUGCGUAGAUAUAAGGAGGAACACCAGUGGCGAAGGCGGCUCACUGGUCUGUAACUGACGCUGAGGUUCGAAAGCGUGGGUAGCAAACAGGAUUAGAUACCCGGGUAGUC
rnacentral:rRNA from 1 species